UGAAGACAUCAUGUGUUUUGGUAAGUUGCUGGCUGAUCCUGACUAACUAGAGGUGACUAAAUGGGCGAAUUGGUAGCGGGUCAAAAUCAGUUAAUUUUAGUAAUUGUCACAAUGGGUUGGGACAGACUGACAAAAAAAAAAAGAAAUUUUUUGUGAUUUGUAUAGAUAGUUAACGUGUUAAUUACAAUUGAAAAGUUAUACUAUUACAUGGUUUUCUAAUUUUGAAAUAAAACAAUUAUGAUGA